GACAGAGGGAUGCAAGCGUAUCCGGAAUGAUUGGGCGUAAAGGCGUCUGAGUAGGUGGCGUUUUUAAGGUCCGCCGUCAAAUCCCGAGGGACUCCAACCCGUGGACAGGCGGUGGAAACUACCAAGCCUGGAGUACGGUAGGGGCAGAGGGAAUUUCCGGGUGGAGCGGUGAAGUACGUAGAGAUCGGAAAGAACACCAACGCGAAAGCACUCUC
rnacentral:rRNA from 1 species